UACGGAGGGGGUUAGCGUUGUUCGGAAUGACUGGGCGUAAAGCGCGCGUAGGCGGACCUGCAAGUCGGGGGUGAAAUCCCGGGGCUCAACCCUGGAAUGGCCUUCGAGACUGCCGGUCUUGAGUUCGAGAGAGGUGGGUGGAAUUCCGAGUGUAGAGGUGAAAUUCGUAGGUAUUCGGAGGAACACCAGUGGCGAAGGCGGCCCACUGGCUCGACACUGACGCUGAGGUGCGAAAGCGUGGGGAGCAAACAGG
rnacentral:rRNA from 1 species